ACGCUCGACACCUACGAGAGGCAGCAGUGGGGAAUAUUGCACAAUGGGGGAAACCCUGAUGCAGCGACGCCGCGUGAGCGAAGAAGUAUUUCGGUAUGUAAAGCUCUAUCAGCAGGGAAGAAGAAAGACGGUACCUGACUAAGAAGCCCCGGCUAACUACGUACCAGCAGCCGCGGUAAUCUGAGCGGGCUGGCAAGGC
rnacentral:rRNA from 1 species